rnacentral:rRNA from 1 species
GACGAACCGUGCAAACGUUAUUCGGAAUCACUGGGCUUAAAGGGCGCGUAGGCGGGCAGCUUUGUCAGGGGUGAAAUCUUUCGGCCUAACCGGAAAAGUGCCUCUGAAACGGGCUGUCUCGAGGGAGGUAGGGGCAUGCGGAACUUCCGGUGGAGCGGUGAAAUGCGUAGAUAUCGGAAGGAACGCCGGUGGCGAAAGCGGCGUGCUGGACCUCUUCUGACGCUGAGGCGCGAAAGCCAGGGGAGCAAACGGG